ACGGAAGGCAGCAGUGAGGAAUAUUGGUCAAUGGGCGAGAGCCUGAACCAGCCAAGUCGCGUGAAGGAUGACGGUUCUAUGGAUUGUAAACUUCUUUUGUUCGAGGGUAAAGUGACUUACGUGUAGGUUAUUGCAAGUAUCGAACGAAUAAGCAUCGGCUAACUCCGUGCCAGCAGCCGCGGUAUACGGAGGAUGCGAGCGUUAUCCGGAUUUAUUGGGGUUAAAGGGUGCGUAGGCGGGAUGUUAAGUCAGCGGUUAAAUAGUGUAGCUCAACUAUACUUCGCCGUUGAAACUGGCGUGCUUGAGUGUAAACGAGGUAGGCGGAAUGUGACGUGUAGCGGUGAAAUGCUUAGAUAUGUCACAGAACCCCGAUUGCGAAGGCAGCUUACUAGGAUACAACUGGCGCUGAGGCACGAAAGCGUGGGUAUCAAACAGGAUUAGAUACCCUGGUA
rnacentral:rRNA from 1 species